UUUUCUGAAUGCGGCUUCUGCCUACUUGAACAACUGAGGUAGUAGACGAGGUGAGAGAGGGUGAAAGGAAAAAGGGAUGGAUCAAAUAUGCUUCACCUGCACAACUCCCUCGACCCAACCACCUCCCUCCUCUCCGUCACUCUCAUCAAUCACCGUCAACCCCUCCUCCCUUCUCCACUCCUCCUCCAUCUCCCCCCUCUUUUUCUUUCGCCUCCGUCCUUUCUUACGUCUCUUCCACUCGCCCCUCCUCCUCCCUUCCCAACCCCAACGUCGCCGCCACCACCAACAACAACCCCAACACCACCACCAACAAUGCCUCCUCCGACUACUCUGUCUCCGCCUUCCGCGCGUACUGGCAUAUGUUAUUUUGGGGAUUUUACUCUGGGUUCUGUUUUACUCAAUAGUUAGGUUUUACUGAGGUAUCGAAAGCACACACAUCUGCUGCAAUAGAGAGGUCAGAGACAUAAUCGCCAGGAGGUGCAUGUCCCUCUUUCACAUCUGGCCUCAAUUAGAGAAGUGGCCCAGUUAACCAUGCACGAAUAUAUUUGGUACAAGAAGAUAUGGGAUUUGAUGGUCGAUCCUCUGAGGAGUCCCUCACCUUUGAGCCAACCAUGACAUGGAAGGGAAAGGGCUCCUCGCUAGAAGCUGAAGAGUUUUUGCCUGAUGGUGAUACAUUGAAGGAAAGCAGUUAUUCAUUUGAGGAUGGUGGUCCAAGUUUAUUUGCUGGUGCUAGUCAUCCCCCAAAGCCUGUUGAUACAGAUCUUAUGAGAACAGUUUAUGUACCGAUAGGUCAAAACAAAUCGGAGGCUGGUUGCUUGAUCAAGAGCUUACCCACAAAGGGCCAUUUUUUUGGAAGAUCUCUCAAUUCGUGUUUCUGCAAAGAAACCAAAUCCAGCUGUUCUUACCCCUGAGCAAAAGUUCAGCUUGUAAUCUUUGAUAACUCCAGUGAUGUUACAGGAGUUGAAAUAGGAGGUGCACUCAAGAAUGUGCUUGCAAUAGCAGCUGAGAUAGUAGAAGGUAUGAUCAAUCUUGGUAAUAACUCAAUGGCUUGUCUCGCAAGGCUGUUCGGAGAUACAGUGGCUUGCAACAAAGACAGGUUUCUUGGGGGAGAUGUAAAAACAUAUUGGCCAACAAAACAGCUUCAAAGUAAGGAGCUCCUGGUGAUCCUUAUCCCCUGAAUAAUGCUGCUCCACCUGUUCCUGUUCCUGCUCCAUCCUUUGAUAAUUUUUCAGCUGAUCAAGUUGACCACAAGGCUCAUGUACCCUACGUAUGGAUCAUUGGGGGCUUAUGAGUUGGUCUAAUUCUAAUUGUAUUAGCUGUGAUUCUCUGUGUUUGUAUGAGAUCAUCAAAUUGUUUUGCUGAAGAUGCCAGAACUCAUGAGAAAGACGUUGAGGGCAAAAUUUCUCAUAAAUUCCAUAUUCUAAGGAAGCCAAGUUUUUUUGUGGUUUUGGAAGGUACAUAUGUGGCAAGCAUGUUGAACAGAAACCCCGAGUUCAAAAAUACCCGUUGGUCGCCGCCAUCUCCUCGAGACCACCCAGCCUUCGAGGAACUCACAUCCCUCCCCAACAUGUGCGGCGCCAUCGACACCACUCUCGUCCACCUCCGCUCCACCCUAACCUCAACACCUAUUGUUGUCGCUACGGCUACCCCUCUCUAUUCCUCCAAGUUGUUUCCGAUCACAAGAAGAUCUUUUGGGACGUCUGCGUCAAGGCCCUUGACGACACUGACGACGCCACCCACUUCCGUGACAGCCUCCUCUACAACUGCCUCACCUUCGGCGACAUCGUCUGGGACAUUGUCAUUAGAGUUCGUGGCCAAAACGUGAGGCCUUACGUGGUCGGUGACUGGUGCUUCCCUUUACUGCCCUUUCUCCUCAUCCUAUUCUCCUCCAACGGGAUAGGCAGCCUCGCGCAUAACCUGUUUGAUGGAAUGCUCAUGAAGGGAAGGUCCGUGGUAGUGGAGGCCAUUAGGGGAGGUGGAAGGUACUGUCUCGAUUCUGAAGGAACCGAGGCAUAAAGUCCUGAAAAAAAAACCAAAAACACUACUACUUCGAUUACCAUUGAACCGAGACAAAAUCCUACCCCUUUAUGCCUGGUUCUGAAUCGAGGCAUAAAGGGGUAGACUUUUGUCUCGCCUGUAUAUGUUUCGGUUCCGAAAUCUCUGUCUAUGUGCGAAAAUAACCACUGACGUUUCCCUUAACUACACUAGUGAAGUAGUGAAACUUCAUGGACUGCCAAGAAGUAUUGUAAGUGAUAGGGAUACAAAAUUCCUAAGUUAUUUUUGGAGGACAUUAUGGGGUAGACUAGUUACCCAAGUUUUGUUUUUUACUACUUGUCAUUCCCAAACAAAUGGAUAAACAAAGGCGGUGAAUAGAACUUUGGGAACCUUACUUACAACAAUUUUGAAGAAAGACUUCAAAUCUUACGAAAAAAUGUUUACCUCAUGCUGAAUUUGCUUACAAUAGGGUUGUUUGUAGCAUAACUAAUUGUUCUCGAUUUGAAAUUGUGUAUGGACUAAACCCUUCAACUUCAUUAAGUUUUUACCUAUGCCUAACAUUUAUAUUUUAAAGCAUAAGGAUGCAGAGGCUAAUAUUAACUUUUUGAGGAAGCUACAUGAACAAGUCAAAACACAAAUUGAAAGGAAAAUUAAAGGUUAUUAUAAACAAGCUAACAAAGGAAGAAAAAAAAUAAUAUUGGAACCUAAAGACCGGGGAUGAGUAGACUUGAGAAAGAAAGGUUCCAUGAACAAGCUCCUACCUAGAGGGGAUGAACCUUUUCAAGUGUUGGAAAAAAUCAUUGACAAUUCCUACAAGAUUGAUUUAUCAAGUAAGUAAAUUGUGAGUAAUA